UAGUAAUUUAAUCAAGAAAAAAAAAUCACAUUUUUUUAGUAUGUACAAGGUCACAGUUGGGGUUCAUUGGUAAAGUAGUUGAAAAAUUAUGCGAGUAGAAUAAAAUAAUAAUAAUAAUGAUAAUAAGUCAGCCUUCAUCAGCUUUUAACUUGUACGAUGUACAUCCGCCUCCCUACUUUAUUCCUGCAAUAGAAUCUGCGAUCAAUCAGCAAUCAAUUGUGUAUGUGUGUAUGUAU